rnacentral:rRNA from 1 species
CCUACGGGUGGCUGCAGUGAGGAAUAUUGGUCAAUGGGAGAGAUCCUGAACCAGCCAAGCCGCGUGAGGGAAGACGGCCCUAUGGGUUGUAAACCUCUUUUGUCGGAGAACAAAACCCGGGACGUGUCCCGGCCUGCGUGUAUCCGAAGAAAAAGCAUCGGCUAACUCCGUGCCAGCAGCCGCGGUAAUACGUAGGGUGCGAGCGUUAAUCGGAAUUACUGGGCGUAAGGGGUGCGAAGGCGGGUGAAUAAGACAGAUGUGAAAUCCCCGGGCUUAACUCGGGAAUGGCAUAUGUGACUGCUCGACUAGAGUGUGUCAGAGGGAGGUGGAAUUCCACGUGUAGCAGUGAAAUGCGUAGAUAUGUGGAAGAACAUCGAUGGCGAAGGCAGCCUCCUGGGACAUAACUGACGCUCAGGCACGAAAGCGUGGGGAGCAAACAGGAUUAGAUACCCUGGUAGUC